rnacentral:lncRNA from 1 species
GAGGCAUUCACAUUUGUUCACCCAGAAAAGUUUAAUUUGUUAUUGAUCUCCUUAAUAAGUUUACAAAGUUCGUUCAGUUCUGUACAUUUGGGGGAAUUCAUUAAGUCAUAAAACUUCAAUGUGUUUGUUCUCUUUCUAUUGUAAAAUGCAAUACAUUGUUUUCUACAAUUAUCGAAAGCUCAACAAUUAAAAAUGAAAUGGUAUUCAUCACCAAUGGCAUCUGAAUUACACAAUACACAUUUCUGUUUUCUCUUUCUAUGUUUUGUCAUCUUCCAGUUUCUAUUGGAGAUUUCAUGUUCAAAGUUCCAAAUUUAA